CCUACGGGAGGCUGCAGUGGGGAAUAUUGGACAAUGGGCGAAAGCCUGAUCCAGCCAUGCCGCGUGUGUGAAGAAGGCCUUCGGGUUGUAAAGCACUUUCAGUGGGGAAGAAAGCCUUGGGGCUAAUACCCUCGAGGAAGGACAUCACCCACAGAAGAAGCACCGGCUAACUCCGUGCCAGCAGCCGCGGUAAUACGGAGGGUGCGAGCGUUAAUCGGAAUUACUGGGCGUAAAGCGCGCGUAGGCGGUCUGAUAAGCCGGUUGUGAAAGCCCCGGGCUCAACCUGGGAACGGCAUCCGGAACUGUCAGGCUAGAGUGCAGGAGAGGAAGGUAGAAUUCCCGGUGUAGCGGUGAAAUGCGUAGAGAUCGGGAGGAAUACCAGUGGCGAAGGCGGCCUUCUGGACUGACACUGACGCUGAGGUGCGAAAGCGUGGAUAGCAAACAGGAUUAGAUACCCCAGUAGUC
rnacentral:rRNA from 1 species